UACGUAGGGUGCAAGCGUUGUCCGGAAUUAUUGGGCGUAAAGAGCUCGUAGGCGGUUUGUCGCGUCGGCUGUGAAAACCUGGGGCUCAACCCCGGGCCUGCAGCCGAUACGGGCAGACUAGAGUUCGGUAGGGGAGUCUGGAAUUCCUGGUGUAGCGGUGAAAUGCGCAGAUAUCAGGAGGAACACCGGUGGCGAAGGCGGGACUCUGGGCCGAUACUGACGCUGAGGAGCGAAAGCGUGGGGAGCAAACAGG
rnacentral:rRNA from 1 species